rnacentral:rRNA from 1 species
GUCCACGCCGUAAACGAUGUGUGCUCGUUGUCGGGGUCUUAGAUCUCGGUAACAAAGCGAAAGCGUUUAGCACACCGCCUGGGGAGUACGGUCGCAAGAUUAAAAACUCAAAGGAAUUGACGGGGACCCGCACAAGCGGUGGAGCAUGUUGUUCAAUUCGAAGCUACGCGUAGAACCUUACCUACUCUUGACAUACCUCUUAGGGCUUUCAGAGAUGAUUGCUUUCGGUUCGGCCGGGAGGAUACAGGUGCUGCAUGGCUGUCGU